GGGCGAUUAGCUCAGUUGGUUAGAGCGCAUCUCUGAUAAGGAUGAGGUCCCAGGUUCAAAUCCUGGAUCGCCCA
rnacentral:tRNA from 1 species